AUUGAACGCUGGCGGCAUGCCUUACACAUGCAAGUCGAACGGCAGCGGGGACUUCGGUCCGCCGGCGAGUGGCGAACGGGUGAGUAACGUAUCGGAACGUACCUUUCAGUGGGGGAUAACGUAGCGAAAGUUACGCUAAUACCGCAUAUUCUGUGAGCAGGAAAGCAGGGGAUCGCAAGACCUUGCGCUGAUUGAGCGGCCGAUAUCAGAUUAGCUAGUUGGUGAGGUAAAGGCUCACCAAGGCGACGAUCUGUAGCGGGUCUGAGAGGAUGAUCCGCCACACUGGAACUGAGACACGGUCCAGACUCCUACGGGAGGCAGCAGUGGGGAAUUUUGGACAAUGGGGGCAACCCUGAUCCAGCCAUGCCGCGUGAGUGAAGAAGGCCUCGG
rnacentral:rRNA from 1 species